GACAAAUCAAAGCUUCUUUAGAAAAUUAAUCUUGGUGUCAAAUCCUUCAUGUGGUUGAACAGAUUUCUCGGUCAUGUGUCCUACAUGCCUUUGCAUGGGGAUGGCAAUGGCAAGCGAACAUGAUCCUUGAAUUGACCCCUUCGAUUAGAGGUGCAUUGCAUUAUUGUGUCUCUUGUCAUCAGCUGAAAAAUGAAAAUGUCCUGUUAGUUGCAUCUUCAAGCUGGCUAUAAGCGUUCCUGUACAUAACUUAUGGUGUACCUGAAAGAGUCAUGUAUUUGCAUCUCUAGCAUGCACUGAUUAAUUUUACUUAGAUGUCCAAAUCUUAUGCUUACAAUGCUUAGAAGAUUGCUGAUAGAAACAUCGUACCUGCCCCGGUAUGCAUAAAUCCUUUUGUAUUAUGAGAAUAAUACUUUUCAGCAACUGCGAUUUUGUAUUUUAUCUAAUGAUCUUUCAACUACUAUAGGCUGAUGGCACAAGCUUGCAUGAAUCUCCUGUCUAUUUGGCUACUAUUCUUGAGUACUUGGAAACUAAGGUUUUGGAGCUGGCUGGGAAUGCUGCUAGAGACAAUAAGAAGUCCCGCAUCAUUCCAAGGCAUGUUCUUUUGGCUGUCAAAAAUGAUGUGGAGCUUGGGAAAUUGCUAGCUGGUGUGACAAUUUCAAGUGGUGGUGUUUUGCCAAACAUAAACUCUAUUCUCUUGCCUAAGAAGUCUGAGGAAGCUUCAAAAUCUCCAAAAAAGGAUUGAUUGGGUUGGGAUGAAUGCUUGGGCCCCACUUUAUAAUUCUUAUUUAAUGGAUUUUUUGAAAAUUUCUUCAAAUUUGUAAUUUUGGUUUUGGUGUUGGGAUGGUCUUUGUUGCUUUCUUUUCUUUUUCUAUAUUUUGUAAAUAGAGUAAUCCUACUGUUGAGGUUUAGAUGUAUGUGCUUCAACAAAAGGAUGCAAUAGAUGUUAUCAUUGGAUCUCCAUCAAUGAAA